rnacentral:sRNA from 1 species
UAUUAUGUAGGUAACAUAUUGGAACACUACUUCUCCAUUUCCUACUUGGGUUCAAGAGAUUGUGCAAGGACCUUUGAACAAGGUUAAAACUUGGCCAAUGUAUUUCACAAGAGGAUAUUUGUUUCAUACGCAAAAUCAUGGCGCUGGACGAAAGAUAUGUAACUAUGGGGUGUGUGUUAAAGGUGAAAAUUACGCUGAUUCAUCUGAUGAAGCGGAUUUCUACGGUACCUUAACUGAUUUUAUAGAACUCGAGUAUGAGGGUAUCGUCAAUUUGAGGAUCACACUUUUUUAGUGUAAGUGGUAUGACCCAAAGACUGGGAGAGGCACUCGACGAAGCCAUGGUGGCGUUGUAGACGUUCUAUCUACGAGGAAAUACAAUAAAUACGAGCCAUUUAUUCUUGGUACGUAAUUCUGAAGUCCAAAAUACGUUUCUUUGUUAAUUAUUAA